rnacentral:rRNA from 1 species
CGAGCGAGCGGUAAGUUUUCGGAUGGAAUUGCUUAGCGGCGGACGGGUGAGUAACGCGUGGGUACUGCCUUACACUGGGGGAUAACAGUUAGAAAUGACUGCUAAUACCGCAUAAGGCCGCAUGGUAAAAACUCCGGUGGUGUAAGAUGGACCCGCGUCUGAUUAGGUAGUUGGUGGGGUAACGGCCCACCAAGCCGACGAUCAGUAGCCGGACUGAGAGGUUGAACGGCCACAUUGGGACUGAGACACGGCCCAGACUCCUACGGGAGGCAGCAGUGGGGGAUAUUGCACAAUGGGGGAAACCCUGAUGCAGCGACGCCGCGUGGAGGAAGAAGGUUUUCGGAUUGUAAACUCCUGUCGUUAGGGACGAUAAUGACGGUACCUAACAAGAAAGCACCGGCUAACUACGUGCCAGCAGCCGCGGUAAAACGUAGGGUGCAAGCGUUGUCCGGAAUUACUGGGUGUAAAGGGAGCGCAGGCGGGAAGACAAGUUGGAAGUGAAAACCAUGGGCUCAACCCAUGAAUUGCUUUCAAAACUGUUUUUCUUGAGUAGUGCAGAGGUAGAUGGAAUUCCCGGUGUAGCGGUGGAAUGCGUAGAUAUCGGGAGGAACACCAGUGGCGAAGGCGGUCUACUGGGCACCAACUGACGCUGAGGCUCGAAAGCAUGGGUAGCAAACA